ACAUGUUUAAAUGCGGUUUAACUGAUAUUUUCCAAAAAUAUGUGACAAAACGUUGUAGUCAGGACAUUUGUGUGACACAAAGUAAUCAGAAAGCCCCCGAGAAGUAUAUGCUGUCGAUUGUCUACACCUAUAUUUGCUCCAAGAUUAUACUAUCCUCGACAGCUCGGAUGACCUACGAUUUCAACAAAUGUUUGGAGCAUCAACCAACACAACGAGUCUUGAUCUGGACAUUCACCAAUGGAUCAUUUGGAUUAUCAGUGGAAUAUUUUGCACAUCAUCUGGAAGUGCAACGAUUUAAAGACUUUUUUUGUCAUUGCAAGGACCUCAAGGCUGCACCAGUCAAAACAACUGUAACAGGUGCAAGCUGUGCUUCAUUCAAGUCCAUUGGGAAGUCAGGGACGAGUCAAGAUCACUUCUGACAAACAUAAGGUCGACCACUUAACAUGCUUUAUUUCAGCAUUCAAAAUAAUUAAAA